AAAAAAAAAAAAAAGGCAAAAGGAGAAAUUAAAGGGUUGAAAAAAAGAAAAAUUUGUACAUAUAUGGUUUGGAGGAGCGUCAAGUAGCUUGUGAAUCUGUAGACUCAGGCAGUGAGGAAACGGGAGGUGAUCAGGCGUCGGGUAAUAGGGAAUAAAAGGUUACUAUUACGUGUUUACUAAAAUGCCCUCCUGAUUGAC